rnacentral:rRNA from 1 species
AAUCAACGCUGGCGGCGUGCCUCAGACAUGCAAGUCGAACGCGAAAGCCCCCUUCGGGGGGCAAGUAGAGUGGCGCACGGGUGAGUAACACGUAGGUAAUCUACCUUUGGAUGGGGAAUAACCACCGGAAACGGUGGCUAAUACCGCAUAAUGCAGCGGCACCUAAUGGCGACAGUUGUUAAAGCGGGGGAUCGCAAGACCUCGCGUCUAAAGAGGAGCCUGCGGCGGAUUAGCUAGUUGGUAAGGUAACGGCUUACCAAGGCGAUGAUCCGUAGCCGGCCUGAGAGGGCGGUCGGCCACACUGACACUGACAUACGGGUCAGACUCCUACGGGAGGCAGCAGUCGGGAAUUUUGGGCAAUGGGCGAAAGCCUGACCCAGCAACGCCGCGUGAAGGAUGAAAUCCUUCGGGAUGUAAACUUCGCAAGAACGGGAAGAAUAAGCCGGUGUCAACACCACCGGCGAUGACGGUACUGUUUGUAAGCUCCGGCUAACUCCGUGCCAGCAGCCGCGGUAAUAC